rnacentral:rRNA from 1 species
AACGAACGCUGGCGGCAUGCCUAACACAUGCAAGUCGAACGAGCCCUUCGGGGCUAGUGGCGCACGGGUGCGUAACGCGUGGGAAUCUGCCCUCUGGUUCGGAAUAACUCAGGGAAACUUGAGCUAAUACCGGAUAAUGACUUCGGUCCAAAGAUUUAUCGCCAGAGGAUGAGCCCGCGUCGGAUUAGCUAGUUGGUGAGGUAAAAGCUCACCAAGGCCACGAUCCGUAGCUGGUCUGAGAGGAUGAUCAGCCACACUGGGGCUGAGACACGGCCCAGACUCCUACGGGAGGCAGCAGUGGGGAAUAUUGGACAAUGGGCGAAAGCCUGAUCCAGCAAUGCCGCGUGAGUGAUGAAGGCCUUAGGGUUGUAAAGCUCUUUUACCCGGGAUGAUAAUGACAGUACCGGGAGAAUAAGCCCCGGCUAACUCCGUGCCAGCCGCCGCAGUAACAC